CCUACGGGGGGCUGCAGUGGGGAAUAUUGGACAAUGGGGGCAACCCUGAUCCAGCCAUGCCGCGUGUGUGAAGAAGGCCCUCGGGUUGUAAAGCACUUUCAGUGAGGAAGAACGCCUGGUGGUUAAUACCCAUCAGGAAAGACAUCACUCACAGAAGAAGCACCGGCUAACUCCGUGCCAGCAGCCGCGGUAAUACGGAGGGUGCGAGCGUUAAUCGGAAUUGCUGGGCGUAAAGCGCGCGUAGGUGGCUUGAUAAGCCGGUUGUGAAAGCCCCGGGCUCAACCUGGGAACGGCAUCCGGAACUGUCAAGCUAGAGUGCAGGAGAGGAAGGUAGAAUUCCCGGUGUAGCGGUGAAAUGCGUAGAGAUCGGGAGGAAUACCAGUGGCGAAGGCGGCCUUCUGGACUGACACUGACACUGAGGUGCGAAAGCGUGGGUAGCAAACAGGAUUAGAUACCCUAGUAGUC
rnacentral:rRNA from 1 species